ensembl:snRNA U6 U6 spliceosomal RNA
GUGUUCACUUUGGCAGCACAUAUACUGAAACUGAGUGAUGCGGAGAAGGUUAGCAUGGCCCCUGCUCAAGGAUGCCAUGCAAAUUCGUGAAGCAUUCCAUAUUUUU